GAUGAACGCUGGCGGCGUGCCUAAUACAUGCAAGUCGAGCGAAUGGAUUAAGAGCUUGCUCUUAUGAAGUUAGCGGCGGACGGGUGAGUAACACGUGGGUAACCUGCCCAUAAGACUGGGAUAACUCCGGGAAACCGGGGCUAAUACCGGAUAACAUUUUGAACCGCAUGGUUCGAAAUUGAAAGGCGGCUUCGGCUGUCACUUAUGAAUGGACCCGCGUCGCAUUAGCUAGUUGGUGAGGUAACGGCUCACCAAGGCAACGAUGCGUAGCCGACCUGAGAGGGUGAUCGGCCACACUGGGACUGAGACACGGCCCAGACUCCUACGGGAGGCAGCAGUAGGGAAUCUUCCGCAAUGGACGAAAGUCUGACGGAGCAACGCCGCGUGAGUGAUGAAGGCUUUCGGGUCGUAAAACUCUGUUGUUAGGGAAGAACAAGUGCUAGUUGAAUAAGCUGGCACCUUGACGGUACCUAACCAGAAAGCCACGGCUAACUACGUACCAGCAGCCGCCGUAA
rnacentral:rRNA from 1 species